AACCCGCUCGGGUACUUUUCUGUACGGGUGUCUUUCCACGCUGUGGAAGCUUUGUUCUUUUGCUUUUUGCAGUGAAGUUUGCUACUGCUCAGUCUUUGGGUCCACACUGCCUUUAUGAGCUAUAACACUCACUGUGAAGGUCUGCAGCUUCACUCCUGAAACCAGCAAGACCACGAACCUACUGGGAGGAACGAGCAACUCCAGACGGGCAGCCUUAAGAGCUGUAACACUCACUGCGAAGGUCCACAGCUUCACUCAUGCGCCAGUGAGACCACAAACCCCACCAGAGGGAAGAAGCUCUGAACACAUCCGAACAUCAGAAGGAACAAAUUCCAGACACGCUGCCUUUAAGAACUGUAACACUCACCGCGAGGAUCCGCGGCUUCAUUUUUGAAGUCAGUGAGACCAAGAACCCACCAAUUCCGGACACAGCUCCACUGCAGUCCAGUCUUGAGUGUCUGAGGCAGACUCCGUUUAAAAAAAAAAAAAAAGGAUCCUCCAAUGUGGGAUGGGGGUGGAGGAGCUUGGAGGUGGAUUCAUUCCUUUGGGUUCAGUUAGCCAGUCAACAAACAUGAAUUGAACUCUUUGUGUUAGUUAGGUAGUGAGAUGGGAAAGAUGAACUCAUGGUCCAAGAUGCCCUGUGUCUGAAAUAUACAAGAGGCUAGGGAGAUGUGCAGCAAGGAAGUAAUCGUACUGCUACGUGGUUGUGGAGCGCUUAAGAAUUAUUUUGAAUGCUUAUUUUCACAACAGCGAAUCAGGUCUGCACUAGCAUUCCUAUUUCCCAGGCACGUUAGAGAUGAAAUCGGUUGUAAAAACCAAUUGUCCUCCACCUUUCAUUUCCCAUCAGACCACAAGGGGGCGCCGUGCGAGGCGAACACAGCCUUAGAUCUGCAAAAUGCUGGUCGCUGCGUGAGGGGCUUCAAAACAUCCUAGGUGGUGCCCAAAGACCUUGUUGCCUGAGCUGAAUAGGUGCUAGCUAUUUGCACUGUCAGCGCUCUAAAGGAUUUCUGGGGGCCCCCUUUCAACGGGAAGCCACCUGGUACGUGUAAACACCCACAAGUUCACUCCCCUUUGCAAGGGGCAGAGGACCUAGUAACUUUUCUCUAGAGCGCUCUCCUCUGCAUACAGGUCCCUACAUGUCCCCUUCUCAGUGCUCUUUGCAGAUCUUUUGUUUUCUUGCUUGUUGAUUUUUCUUUUGCAAACAGGAUUGGGGGACCCAUUAUUUAUCCAAAACCUUCUUUUGUCAAAUCGUAGGUCCUUUCCAGUGUAGACUGGAUGUCUAGACAGAGAGGUAGAAAUAAUUGCCCAAGGGCAAGGACAGCCUUCACUAAGUUGUCCAUUUACAUCUUUACAUCAUUCUAAAAAUACACCCACACCAGCCCUUUGUCUUGAUAUUUUAACAUUGGGCAAGGCUGAAAUAAGUUACUUCUCUGACCACUGUUUAAAAUGUCUCAUUCACAACCAUUGUUCUUGGAGACUUCAACUUCUUUAAUAGGAAUUUAAGUCACAAAGGGCCCAGAUGGUUCUGAAAAAAAAACCCGUUAGGCUGCCUGGGUCAUAAAGAAGGCUCAUAAACUGCGCUUGGAUGAUGACUGGGUGAGGGGCUGUGUGGGGGAUAGACAAUGUCUGGUGUCUGGUGGUCUCCUGACUGCCAGGCAGGCCAGAGAAAAUUAGGGGUAUGUUUUCAUUUAACAUCAUUCCCUGCUGACUCUUGUCUCUCUGGAAAAUUGACAGUUAGGAGACAAAAACGUUGCCAUCUCCAGCAAAGAGCGCUUGAACAGCUGGGCAUUUCUAGAAAGGAAUGGGCCUGGAAGACCUGGCUAAAACCUUUGAAUCAUUUCCUGCCAACAUUUGGCCGUGACCCAUUUUGGAAGGUCACUCAGCUAUUGGUCUGAAGAAGCCUUUUUUUUUUCUAUUUGGCCUUCUUUGGAAGCCAAUUUAUCGUCUGAGUUCUUCUCCUGUAAUCUGAACUACAGGUUGCAGGUUCUGAACUACCUGAAGCCAUGCAAGUCAUAACACAUCAUUACUGACUUCUAGCUCUUUCCUUCAAGUCUCUGGCAUUGCAGAUGUUAUUUCUGUCCUAAGAAGAGCAAGAGGAGCUGCAAUAUGAAACCAGAAAACAGACACACUUCAUUUCUCUCUGCUGUUGGUGUUUUCUGGGGAGACCAGUGGAGUCACUCUGGGCAGGACUGAGGGGGACCUGGGUAUAUGACCAAGCCCUGGACAGUUCAUGUGAAGGAGCAGGACCCAGCUUCCAGGUCAGGAGGGAAACAUGCCUGACCUUUGUGCUGCUCUGCCAGGUGAGGUGUCCUUUCCUCUCCUCACCCA
rnacentral:lncRNA from 1 species